CCUGGGACCCCUCACCAGCCACCCCUAGUGGAGAACGGAGACAAAAACGCAGAUCCCAGGGUGAUAACUGUCACACCCAGGCCAGGAGAGGCAGAGCAGCUGCCAAAAGGAAACUCCACAGGUCCAGGAAAAUCUUCCAACUGCCGUCAGACCGAGGGGGCAGGGAAGAAAGUGACAUUCAUCACAACCCAGGAACCAGGCCCAUCCUCAGUGUCUUCAGCUGAAAGUGCUGGAAGGGGUGUACUUUCAUGGCUAUCUCAGGAGCUGGGAAAGGUAGUCCCUCAGCCAGCCCAGAAUCCAG
rnacentral:lncRNA from 1 species